GGGGCAGUAGCUCAGUUGGUUAGAGCAACGGACUCAUAACCCGUCGGUCACAGGUUCAAGUCCUGUUUGCCCCA
rnacentral:tRNA from 1 species